rnacentral:rRNA from 1 species
CCUACGGGUGGCAGCAGUGGGGAAUAUUGGUCAAUGGACGAAAGUCUGAACCAGCCAAGUCGCGUGAAGGAUGACUGCCCUCUGGGUGGUAAGCUUCUUUUAUAAGGGAAUAAAACGAGGCACGUGUGCCUUUUUGCAUGUACUUUAUGAAUAGGGGUCGGCUAACUCCGUGCCAGCAGCCGCGGUAAUACGGAGGAUCCGAGCGUUAUCCGGAAUUAUUGGGUUUAAAGGGAGCGUAGCGGGGCUGUUAAGUCAGUUGUGAAAGGUUGCGGCUCAACCGGAGAAAUGCAAUUGAUACUGGCAGGCUUGAGUACAGUUGAGGGAGGUGGAAUUCGUGGUGUAGCGGUGAAAUGCGUAGAUAUCAGGAAGAACACCGAUUGCGAAGGCAGCUUACUAGACUGUGACUGACACUGAGGCACGAAAGCGUGGGGAGCAAACAGGAUUAGAUACCCCAGUAGUC